rnacentral:antisense_RNA from 1 species
GAAAGAUUUGUGGAAAAAAUGAUUAAAUCAAUUAAGAGAAAAAUUUGGCAAUUGAUUUAUAAACAUUUUUUUUAUUAUAGUAUAACAAUAAUCCUUACUAACAGUAAUACACCACUGGAUAAAUCUAUAUCAAUAACUCCACAUAUUUAUUGGAUUAAUGCUAUAAUAUUACUAUUUAAGUUCAACAUUAAUUACACCAUCAGCAAAUUCAACAGGCUUCUCUAAGCCGGCUUUAUUAUUACUGAUGUCUAUUUGACCAAUUUUUCGGUUGAAGGCAAAAUCAUGGCUCUUACUUGGGAAUAAAUGAAUUUUUGGUGGUACACAUCCGUGAAUAAUAAAUGUACUUGCAAGAAAUGCCAUAAUAUGCCAUAUUGAAUGGAAAAACCAAUAAGUGUCCACAGUUUCAAGAAACCAAGUAAUACAACCAAUGGUGCCCAUAAUAAAUCCAAUUAAAAUAUGUCUAGGUGAGUAAUAUUCACGAUCAAAAAUGAAAAUAAGUUUCUUAUAACCGUUAAUAAUGGAAUAUUGUAAGCGAGUAAAAAAAUGAUUUGCAUUACGAACUGUUGAAUUUAAAUUCCGAGCAGAAUUUGGAUUCUGAGCAACAUCAUCAACUGAAGCAAUAUCAUCAACUUUUGAAAUAUUAAACUGAGAUGCAGAAGAAUUUUUCUGACAAUCUUUACAAGCGCUAAUGCAAUUUGAAGAAUUUUGUGGAGAUUUUUUCAAUUCUUCGCUAUUAUUUGAAUUAUUGUUAUCUUUUGAAAUUAAAUUGGUUGGAGUAUUUAAUGUAUUUGUCAACUCAAUGGGAAUUGUACACGAAAUAUUUGAUGGGAUCUUUUCACUAUAUAAUUUUGUGGUACUAUACCAAUAAAUUAUUCUUGAAAGUAGAAUUGUAAAACAAUUCAUUAAUGGAAUUACUGUUGUUACUAGUCUUGAAGUUAAUAAAGUAAGAAGAACUAAAACAAUUAUCUGUGCGAAUAAUAAUGAAAUCUCAACUUUAUAAUUAAAUCUGCAAAGUAAUAUAAAUACAAAAGAAAUAAUAAGCUGAGCUGAAAUUAAAUCACCUUUUAAAAGCAUAUCUUCAUGAUCAACAAGUAAACCAACUUCUGCAGCAUGAAAUAUUGAUGAUAUUAAUCCUGCAAUAAAAGCUAAAAAGGCUACUAGCCAUUUCUUCUUAAAUAUGCAUACCAGAAUUGUUGGAAUUGCAACAAAAUUCGUUCCCACUAAUGUUAUUGGAUAAGCUAAUAUUGAUUGACUUGAUAAAUAUGGAUAUGAACAAUAAAAUCCACCCCAUCCAGGAUAGCACGAACAAUAAAUAUUAAUAUUUCCCGAAUAUUCUACUAAAGAACAAUCUCCAUGUCCUGAACAUGUUGAUGCUUUACACAUUUUUGGUAUCAUCUGAUGCUUCAAUCUAAUAUUUAUUGAUUUUAUUGGAAUAUUCUCCGUUGGUUUAAUAUCUGUCUUAAUAUUGAUCUUAAAAGCAAAUGGAAGAUUAUUAUUAAUUGUUGAUAGUGG